UUAGAGCGCAUCAGUUUUAAAGUCAUUAAGAACAUGUGAAAGGUGUUUUUUUUUUCCAAUAUGAACUCAUGCAAGUUACCAAAACUGUGAUAACCCUUUUUUACUUACUGUAAAGAGUCAUUUUCAUAAAGAUCAAUUCAUUGAUUUGUUUUUUGUAAAGCUAUCAUUCAAUAUAUAUUAUAAAUUAAUAUAAAUUUAAGGGAAGCUCUAUGUAAGGAGACUUAGAGCCAAACUGUUUAAGCUGUAUCAUCCCAAC
rnacentral:lncRNA from 1 species